AUACGUAGGGGGCGAGCGUUGUCCGGAAUGAUUGGGCGUAAAGGGCGCGUAGGCGGCCCGGUAAGUCUGGAGUGAAAGUCCUGUUUUUAAGAUGGGAAUUGCUUUGGAUACUGUCGGGCUUGAGUGCAGGAGAGGUAAGUGGAAUUCCCAGUGUAGCGGUGAAAUGCGUAGAGAUUAGGAGGAACACCAGUGGCGAAGGCGACUUACUGGACUGUAACUGACGCUGAGGCGCGAAAGUGUGGGGAGCAAACAGGAUUAGAUACCCUGGUAGUCCACACUGUAAACGAUGAAUGCUAGGUGUAGGGGGUAUCGACCCCUUCUGUGCCGCAGUCAACACAAUAAGCAUUCCGCCUGGGGAGUACGGCCGCAAGGUUGAAACUCAAAUGAAUUGGCGGGG
rnacentral:rRNA from 1 species